rnacentral:rRNA from 1 species
AUACGUAGGUGGCAAGCGUUGUCCGGAAUUAUUGGGCGUAAAGCGCGCGCAGGCGGCCUUUUAAGUCUGAUGUGAAAGCCCACGGCUUAACCGUGGAAGGUCAUUGGAAACUGGAAGGCUUGAGUACAGAAGAGGAAAGCGGAAUUCCACGUGUAGCGGUGAAAUGCGUAGAGAUGUGGAGGAACACCAGUGGCGAAGGCGGCUUUCUGGUCUGUAACUGACGCUGAGGCGCGAAAGCGUGGGGAGCAAACAGGAUUAGAUACCCUGGUAGUCCACGCCGUAAACGAUGAGUGCUAAGUGUUAGGGGGUUUCCGCCCCUUAGUGCUGGAGCAAACGCAUUAAGCACUCCGCCUGGGGAGUACGGUCGCAAGACUGAA